UAUAUGGAGAGUUUGAUCAUGGCUCAGGAUUAACGCUGGCGGCGUGCCUAAUACAUGCAAGUCGAACGCGACACCUUCGGGUGUCGAGUGGCGGACGGGUGAGUAACACGUGGGUAACCUGCCCAUCAGCCUGGGAUAACCACCGGAAACGGUGGCUAAUACCGGAUAUGUCUACGGAUGAAAGUCGGGUUUUCUGACACUGAUGGAUGGACCUGCGGCGCAUUAGCUAGUUGGUGAGGUAGUGGCUCACCAA
rnacentral:rRNA from 1 species